rnacentral:rRNA from 1 species
CCUACGGUGGGCAGCAGUGGGGGAUAUUGCACAAUGGGGGAAACCCUGAUGCAGCGACGCCGCGUGGGUGAAGAAGCGCCUCGGCGCGUAAAGCCCUGUCAGCAGGGAAGAAAAUGACGGUACCUGUAGAAGAAGCCCCGGCUAACUACGUGCCAGCAGCCGCGGUAAUACGUAGGGGGCAAGCGUUAUCCGGAUUUACUGGGUGUAAAGGGGGCGCAGACGGCGAUGCAAGCCAGGAGUGAAAGCCCGGGGCCCCACCCCGGGACUGCUCUUGGAACUGCGUGGCUAGCGUGCAGGAGGGGCAGGCGGAAUUCCUGGUGUAGCGGUGAAAUGCGUAGAUAUCAGGAGGAACACCGGUGGCGAAGGCGGCCUGCUGAGCUGCAACUGACGUUGCGGCCCGAAAGCGUGGGGAGCAAACAGGACUAGAUACCCCAGUAGUC